UGANUNUCGCGNGGGAAUCUACCUAGYACUAASGAACAACAGUUAGAAAUGACUGCUAAUACCUUAUACGCCCUCCGGGGGAAAGAUUUAUCGGUAUUAGAUGAGCCCGCGUUUGAUUAGCUAGUUGGUGAGGUAAUGGCUCACCAAGGCGACGAUCAAUAGCUGGUCUGAGGGGAUGAUCAGCCACACUGGGACUGAGACACGGCCCAGACUCCUACGGGAGGCAGCAGUGGGGAAUAUUGGACAAUGGGCGAAAGCCUGAUCCAGCCAUGCCGCGUGUGUGAUGAAGGCCCUAGGGUUGUAAAGCACUUUCAACGGUGAAGAUAAUGACGGUAACCGUACAARAAGCUCCGGCUAACUUCGUGCCAGCAGCCGCGGUAAUACNAAGGGAGCUAGCGUUGUUCGGAAUUACUGGGCGUAAAGCGCGCGUAGGCGGACUAUUAAGUCAGGGGUGAAAUCCCGGGGCUCAACCCCGGAACUGCCCUUGAUACUGGUGGUCUAGAGAUCCGASAGAGGUGAGUGGAAUUCCGAGUGUAGAGGUGAAAUUCGUASAUAUUCGGAGGAACCCAGUGGCGAAGGCGGCUCACUGGCUCGAUACUGU
rnacentral:rRNA from 1 species